UCCCUAACGUUAAAAUAGAGAAAAGGAGUUCUAAUAAAUAUUUCAUUAUGACUGUCUUGGCCCCGAAAUAAGGGACUAAUUAGAAAGAAAAUGUACUGUUCUAUGGGUGUCUAUGGAGCGGCUGAUGAUAUGAUAUGGAUAUCCCACAGAUCACUUUUGGUGGGAUGGAUCUCCGACUUGAUUCUUAUCAUCUGCUGGUGUACUGCCCACGGAAAACAGCCUUGAACUUUCACCAACCGUCAUCAGGGGCACUGUCGAUUCACAGACGACGACGUCCAACGUGUAGGAUGAGGCAGAGCAGAUCUGAUCAGAGUCUGUGGCUCCGAGGAGGCCACUGUCUUCUGUGUCAGUAUCUGUACUGCGUACCCCUGCCUCUGCCACUGCCACUGCCACUGCCACUGCCACUGCGUCUGCUCAGUGUGGGUGUCGUGCCGUCGAAAAGCUGCGGCCAUGCAAGGUAAAUACUCGUACACAGGCCUGAAACAACAGAAUGAAAAACGAACAAAACUCAAAUGAAAUUGGCCGCCAAGGUGCGUUUGUUUAGCCACAUGCACGAGCAUACCAGCAGCACUCGCAUGACGCGCCAAAGGCCUUCAACUUGAAUUAACCGUUCAGCUAAUCGAUCGGCUAGGGCACUGCUCUGCUCUGCUCUGCUCUGCUCUGCUCUGCUCUGCUCUGCUCUGCUCCCUCUCCGCUGCACUCUGGUUCUCUCUGAAGAUACGAGACUGGGGUCAGAGCUUUUGAUACCCUGCGGUGGAAAAUCUUAUGCUCUCGGAUAUGCAUAGCAACAAGAGUAUCAGAAGCAUCAUGCAUCACUCUCACAGAGAGAGCGAACGUAUCUGGAUCAAAUGGCCUUUCCCUUUCUUUCCUCAAUCACAUUCCGAGUACAUGGCGAAAGUGAGAGACAGAGAUAGAGAGAGAGAGAGGGAGAGACAGCAAUGAUUCAUGUUGCUCGAAACGCAUCCGAAAAGAAAUUCCAAAUUCCAAAGUGAAAUUUUCUCUUACAAAAUGCGAUCCAAUCGGUGAGCGGAAAAUAAAGGAAAAUAAUCUGAUAAUCGUUAAUCGUUAAUGGGAAAUUGAUUAAUGAAACUGAUUGAUAAAAAAUAAUAGUAUCUUCAAGUAUCUUGUACUUCAGUGCGUGCAAAUGUGAGCUUACUUCUGGUUACCCUGAAAUCUCAAAUAUAAGAUUCUACAGAGACAGUCCCUGCUUCAGUAAUUGCUGCCUUCGAUUGAAUGAAUGGACAUGCAAAAGGCAUUUGCAUUUGAAUUUGCAUUUUCACUGCCAAUCGCAUUCUCAAUUGCCAUUCCACUGAGACGGUGAAACAAUUGCAGUCCGGGGGCCAAUUCAGCUUGCCACCAAAUGCGUCUGGCAACGGAAAUGGAAAGCAAUUUGCAGCUUCUCCACACAUUCCCAAAUAUGGGCGGGUAUACUCGUACGAGUAUCAUCUUACAUAUGGCUCCGUUUUGGGGUAAUUAUGUCAUGGGGUGCCCGCGCUCCCCAACAAAAUUCUUUGGCCAAGUUUCGUGCCAGCAGCGCCAUCACGUCAUCGCCUUAUGCUCUGAUGUGUCCAAAUAAAAUGACGACAUUUUUUAACUGUUUCGUUGUAUCUGUAUCGGACUCCGUUUCUGGCUAUGGCUAUGGCUCUAUUCUGAAUCCAUGCAAUUCCAUCGGUCAUCGGUGAUCGACGCGGUGAUCGUGACGUAGUUAUCGGCAAAUGCAACGUUGCGCUGGGGAGUCAUGUGUCGGCUUAGAGCCUUUCUGAAACAAAAAAAAUACAUAUGUGCUUUCGAUUGGACAAUAGGAUAUUUAUUUAUAGGAAAUGCGAAUCCAAUCAGACCCAUAUAUGAGAAUGGUCAGAUAGUUAUGGGGUUCCCUAGAAUAUUCCCUAUGUCUUCUACGUUCUAUAACUCUGUGAUAGACCCCCAGGACGGGAACGGGGACUGGGAGAGGGCUCAGCAGGUGACGCCGAAUAAAUGAAAAUGUUUGCAUAAGUAUAAAUAUAUAUUUGUGACGCCACGCCGACUUCUUACGAGAAAUGCUGACGCGAGUGAAUCAUCAUCGGUGACUUGGAUUCGGUUUCGGUUGUUUUGCCUUUUUUGGUUAAUUUUAAAACGGAUUGCGACUAUUACACCAGUUGAAUCUGCAUAAAUAUAUCGAUGAAUCAUUUGACCACAUGGUUCAUUGGUUCAUUGGCAAAUGUGGGGACUACACAGGUGUCUCAUGGCAUACAUACUCAUAUUUGUGGGCUCUCCCAAGGCUGGGGUGUAGGAUGAAGCCAAGAUCUACAUCAGAAGAUGUGUCGUGUCGCGCGUUAUGCGGCAGCACCUCUCGGUCUCUCUCGGCUUGAAUGUCUUCUGCUGUAAUCAGUGAAUAUUUCGAAAUUCAAUCAACUUUUGCAUGCCAUUAUUGAGGGGAGACCGAUUGUCUGGCCAACGGUGUUUGGCCAAUUGAUUCUCCCAACAGAUUCGUGCUCUGUGUGUGUUUGUGUGUGUGUGAUUGCAUAAUAGUACCUAGUAAUACCUGUGGCUGCUGACAGAAUGCUUUGUUAUAGAUUUGGUUCGUUUUUCGUGCGCUGCACACACCAGCAUCAGCACCAGCAGAAGCAGAUUCUACACUAUACGUAUACCUAUGCACAUAUUUAGAUACAUAGGUAUGUGUGUAUGUAUAUAGUAGCGCUAACACAUCCCAAUGUUUUUCUAUAUACCAGACAAUUAAAACAAUUGAUGCGAUUUCUCGCACAAAUGUGCCAAACACGAACAUUCAAUUUAUAUUUAGUCGAUCGCCUUCAUCCGUCAAAUGAUAGUCGGAUCGUAUCGGAUCGGUUCGGAUUGGAUCAACCGCAAAAGCAUUCCUUCGCCCCUACCCCCUGGCCCCUACCCGCUCUCCGCCUCCGAAAUCGAUUAAAAAUCGAGCACAAUGCUGUAAUUCACACAGCUUUGAUCGAACUUUGUGGCAAGAGGAGGAAAGCCGUGGGUGUGCUGCGUGCUGCGUGCUCCGUGCUGCGCUCUGCUUAAAGUAUGUCAACCCAUUUCGGAUUUCGUCAUCAGCAUCGGCAUCGGCAUCGGCAUCGGCACCGGUAUGGGAUCAGCACCAUUAACAUGCCGCCACCUCUUGAAUCACUUUCUACUUUCACUGCUUCUUCGCCUUUACCUCGAACACACCACACACACACACACACACACGAGUGGGGCUUGUUGCCUGGUGAUGAUGGCUCGCUUUGCACUCAUUCGAGGGCUAAAGACGGCAAAAUUGACGUCAGACGCACGGCGAUAACCUUUGCCAGCCAUGCCGCCGUUUGCAAUCUGGGCAAUCAGAUGCUCUCCUCCGUACACCGUACACGGAACAGCUGUUGGGCCGCACAGCACCACGAUACCACGAUGUAAGCCCCGAUAGUUUCUGCGACGCAGAUGCCUGGCUCUGAGUCUCUGACUGUGCCUGGGUCUGGUUUUAGCACUUUCUGCUUACUUAGUUGGGUAAACAAUACGACUAUACGAGACGAGUAGUGGUGCACAAACAUGCCCUCGGCUGAUCAUACACCAGCCCUCCAACGCAGCACUGCUUCCGCAAACUGGCUGAAAGUCCCAAAUGCAGAAGCCUCGAGACCCCCCACCCCCCUCCCUCGUUUGCAUCUGCAAUGCAUUGACCUCCGACUGCAGGGCCAAGAGACAGACAUAUGGUUGCGGUUUGAUCUUGAUCGUUUGGCUAAGGUGACAAUCGGUAAACUGUAAACUGUAAACAGUACAUACAUAUGUAUGUACUCUAUAGUAAAACCCACCUGCUGCUGCCCGUCGAAGGUAAAUACAUACAUACCCAUACAUUCGGCUAAAUUAAGAUUGUAGGAAGAAAAGUGGGAGCCAAGUAAGUAGUCAUCGUCUAGGCAUAGUAUAUAGGAUACACCCUUCACAUGAUGAGUAAUAAGUGAUUCAUCCGUACGUUAAACUUCCUCCAGCAAAGAUCUCGUAUUAGAUCUGUGUUCCAUUCCUGAAAUCUCUGAAAAUGAACGCCCAACCCACGCCCGUUUAAUAAGAACGAUAAUUGCUUUUAAAGUGGUAUUUAGUUGUAAACAAAUCAAUGUUUCUUUUAUUGUGGUUCAAUCGUUAAAUCGCUCAAUUUAUUCCUUUGCUUUUUCGUGCAGAGUGCAGUCGCAUUUGUAUCUUUUCCGUUUCGGUUUCCACUGCCCUUUCCAUUUCAAACAAAAAUUGUGGCAUUCUGUGCGUGUGGCGUGUGGCGUGUGGCGUGUGGCGUGUGUGUGUGCGUGCUCUUGCCACUACUCUAAGUAGGAACAUCAAUUGUCGAAUCGAAUGAGGAAUAAAGAACUCCAUUCCUCGAGUUCCACUCCGCUCCACCCCACACCCCACGCCCUAGGGGGGGCAUCGGCGAAGAGGAGCAAUCGCUCAAUGUCAUAGAUAUAUUUGUAUUUCUUUUUGGAUUUGGAUUUGGUCAGAAAACCAAAUUUAAUUACUUGCUGGGACUCUUAAGCCUAAAAUGGAGAAGUUCGAAGUUCACUCGAAGAAUCUUCAAUGAACAUUUGUGUGUGUGUGUGUGUGUGUGUGUGCGCGAUAUCUUUAAAUAAAUAUUUAUAUGUAAUCCUUGACAAACAGAAAGAACAAAGGGGGACAAAAAAUAUAGACUAAAGAGCUACGUUUAGUGGGUGGAGGGGGGCGGGCGGGCAGGGGCAGAACCUAACCUACAUUUAUGCAUAGUGUAUAAAGUAGUUAAAUUUUGAAAGUUUUCAACUUUCCUUCCGUCGCGUUUUUUUGACAUAUGAGAUGCUUCCUUCAUUCGUACUUUUGGUCGAAUAAAAAAUAAAAUAAAA